AUGAGAACCAAAAUGUCACUCUUGGAAACAGUGUGCUGGUGGUCUCUCAUGUUCGGGUGUGCGCUGUCCCAGAUCACACAUCCCAAGGAGCUGUUACUGUACAAACCGGGAAGGAGCGCAAGGGUCAUCUGUGAAGCGGAUGCAUCCGUGCCCUUGAACAGCAACCCUCUCCACUGGUACCAGCAGAAAGAGACGAUCGAGCGUAUUUUAUAUUUCACACCCGGAAAGAACAGCCCAGAAAGGGACGACAACUUUCCACCCAGGUUUCAAGCGUCCAAAAGGGACCAAAGAAGUACUCUGACCAUCAGCAACGCAGUGCCUGACGACAGCGGGUAUUAUUACUGCGCCUACUGGCAGUCCCACUGUGAGGAAACAAAGCAGAAAGCAAGACAAAAACACAAGUUGUUUUGCACUGGAACACAAACCACAAAGUUGGUUCAGUGUUUCGCUCACAUGGCACCGCAAUUGGCACAGCUUCUUUUCUCAGCAGGGCCCCAUAUUUCUGUUAUUAUUAUUAUUAUCACACAUACACACACACUUUCUGAAAUUGCUUGUCUCAUACUGGGUUGCGACGAGCCGGAGCCUAACCCGGCAACAGAGGGCGUAAGGCUGGAGGGGGAGGGGACAUACCCAGGACGGGACGCCAGUCCGUCGCAAGGCAACCCAAAGCGAGACUUGAACCCCAGACCCACCGGAGAGCAGGACCUGGGCAAACCCGCAGUUACUGCUGUUACUGCAAAGCCCCACUUACACACACUUUGCACUUUUCCAAUGGUGUAACACUGGAGGCUGCUCCUUAUUUGUCCAAAAAAAGGAUCAGCAAAG
rnacentral:lncRNA from 1 species